rnacentral:rRNA from 1 species
GACGAACGCUGGCGGCGCGCUUAACACAUGCAAGUCGAGCGAUCGGCCCGGGGCUUGCCCGGGUACGGAGCGGCGAACGGGUGAGUAACACGUGGGUGACCUGCCCUCGGUUCCGGGACAACACCGGGAAACCGGUGCUAAUACCGGAUGGACUACGCGGCUUUCGGGCUGCGGAGAAAAGGUAGCUUUGGCCUCCGACCGAGGAUGGGCCCGCGGCCGAUUAGCUUGUUGGUGGGGUAAUGGCGUCACCAAGGCGACGAUCGGUAGCUGGUGUGAGAGCAUGACCAGCCAC